rnacentral:rRNA from 1 species
UGAGGAAUAUUGGUCAAUGGGCGAGAGCCUGAACCAGCCAUGCCGCGUGCAGGAUGACUGCCCUAUGGGUUGUAAACUGCUUUUUUGCAGGAAGAAAGGUUUUGAUUCGUUCAGAAUUUGACGGUACUGCAGGAAUAAGCAUCGGCUAACUCCGUGCCAGCAGCCGCGGUAAUACGGAGGAUGCAAGCGUUAUCCGGAUUCAUUGGGUUUAAAGGGUGCGCAGGCGGGGCACUAAGUCAGAGGUGAAAGCCCGGGGCUCAACUCCGGGAUUGCCUUUGAAACUGGUGUUCUUGAGUGUAAUCGAGGACGGCGGAAUGAGUUAUGUAGCGGUGAAAUGCAUAGAUAUAACUCAGAACACCGAUUGCGAAGGCAGCUGUCUAGGUUACUACUGACGCUGAGGCACGAAAGCGUGGGGAGCGAACA